UACAGAGGGUGCAAGCGUUAAUCGGAAUUACUGGGCGUAAAGCGUGCGCAGACGGUUAUGUAAGUCGGGUGUGAAAGCCCCGGGCUCAACCUGGGAAUUGCAUUCGAGACUGCAUAGCUAGGGUGCGGAAGAGGGAAGCGGAAUUUCCGGUGUAGCGGUGAAAUGCGUAGAUAUCGGAAGGAACACCAGUGGCGAAAGCGGCUUCCUGGUCCAGCACCGACGUUCAGGCACGAAAGCGUGGGGAGCAAACAGG
rnacentral:rRNA from 1 species